AACGAACGCUGGCGGCAUGCCUAACACAUGCAAGUCGAACGAGACCUUCGGGUCUAGUGGCGCACGGGUGCGUAACGCGUGGGAACCUGCCUUUAGGUUCGGAAUAACUCAGAGACAUUUGAGCUAAUACCGGAUGAUGUCUUCGGACCAAAGAUUUAUCGCCUUUAGAUGGGCCCGCGUUGGAUUAGCUAGUUGGUGGGGUAAAGGCCUACCAAGGCGACGAUCCAUAGCUGGUCUGAGAGGAUGGUCAGCCACACUGGGACUGAGACACGGCCCAGACUCCUACGGGAGGCAGCAGUGGGGAAUAUUGGACAAUGGGCGAAAGCCUGAUCCAGCAAGGACGCGUGAGUGAUGAAGGCCUUAGGGUUGUAAAGCUCUUUUAACCGAGAUGAUAAUGACAGUAUCGGGAGAAUAAGCGCCGGCUAACUCCGUG
rnacentral:rRNA from 1 species